rnacentral:rRNA from 1 species
AUGGAGAUGUUGCGGCGGAACCUGAAGCGCCAGACCACGCGCUCGCGCUCCCUCUCCCUGCUCUCCGUCACCUCCCCCACGGACGACCAGGAGAACCUCCACCCCAACCUCGCUGCCGCCCCGCUGUCCCCAGCCAACAAACCCUCCACGCCGCUGCCGACGGGCCCGUCCAAGCCCGUCCCUGGGGCCGCAGCGGCUGCCGUCCCCGUUCCCCAGCCAGUGGCCGCCGCGCCCGUCGUGGUGUGGGUGCGGCCGGUGGUGAGCCAACCGGUGGACGGCAAGGACCUCUUCUUCGUGCGGAAGACCUCCGCCGACUCCAUCGCCGUUGGCGACCGGGCUUUCGCCAUCGUCGAGGAACAGGUGGAGAAACUUCAAUUCGAGGAGCUCCUCCACGGGAAGCAGGCGGCGGCCGCGUAUGCGUCCGAAAAUGUCACCGAAUUGGAAGCCUCUGUUGGUGAAAUGGCGGGGAAGAGCACUGAGCUCUUCGCCAUGAUAAUCAUGAGACGAAUUCUGUGGAUGAAUGAUGGUGACGGUGAUUGGCAGGAGGAUGCGUUCCAUAUGGUGGGCGUGCCCAUGAUCCACAGUGCCCUCGCUGGAUUCAACACCUCCCUCAUCUGCUACGGCCAGAGUGGCACAGGGAAUACAUACACCAUGUGGGGGGCCCUCGCCGCCAUGUUUGACAACCUCUCCAAGCGCGCCGACCGGGGGAUCGUGCCUCGCUUCUCCUAG